AUUGAACGCUGGCGGCAGGCUUAACACAUGCAAGUCGAGCGAGCGGCGGACGGGAGAGUAAUGUAUGGGGAACUGCCCGAUAGAGGGGGAUAACUACUGGAAACGGUGGCUAAUACCGCAUACUAUUGGAUGAACCCAUAUGGGAUUAGCUAGUAGGUGGGGUAAAGGCUCACCUAGGCGACGCUCCCUAGCUGGUCUGUGAGGAUGAGCAGCCACACUGGCACUGAGACACGGCCCAGACUCCUACGGGAGGCAGGAGUGGGGAAUAUGGCACAAUGUGCGCAAGCCUGCUGCAGCCAUGCCGCGUGUAUGAAGAAGGCCUUCGGGUUGUAAAGUACUUUCAGCGGGGAGGCGUUACCCGCAGCAGAAGCACCGGCUAACUCCGUGCCAGCAGCCGCGGUAAUAC
rnacentral:rRNA from 1 species